UACGUAGGGGGCUAGCGUUGUCCGGAAUCAUUGGGCGUAAAGCGCGCGUAGGCGGCCCGGUAAGUCCGCUGUAAAAGUCCAGGGCUCAACCCUGGAAAGCCGGUGGAUACUGUCGGGCUCGAGUCCGGAAGAGGCGAGUGGAAUUCCUGGUGUAGCGGUGGAAUGCGUAGAUAUCUGGAGGAACACCAGUGGCGAAGGCGGCGACCUGGU
rnacentral:rRNA from 1 species